rnacentral:tRNA from 1 species
CCCCGCACCGGAGGGGGCCCCGGACCCGGCUCCGGCCCGGGUUCCGGUCCUGGUUCCGGUCCUGGUUCCGGGGC